AGAGUUUGAUCAUGGCUCAGGUUGAACGCUGGCGGUAUGCUUAACACAUGCAAGUCGAACGGUAACAGGCCUUCGGGCGCUGACGAGUGGCGGACGGGUGAGUAACGCGUAGGAAUCUGCCUCAUAGUGGGGGACAACGUGGGGAAACCCACGCUAAUACCGCAUACGCCCUACGGGGGAAAGCGGGGGCUCUUCGGACCUCGCGCUAUGAGAUGAGCCUGCGUUAGAUUAGCUAGUUGGUAGGGUAAAGGCCUACCAAGGCGACGAUCUAUAGCUGGUCUGAGAGGACGAUCAGCCACACUGGGACUGAGACACGGCCCAUACUCCUACGGCGAGGCAGCAGUGGGGAAUAUUGGACAAUGG
rnacentral:rRNA from 1 species